UUUGGCUGCACACCAGGAAAAUGGCUGCUGGGUCUACGUGUGUUCAACUGUACCUCAUUGCAUUAUACCCAAACUGAUCCACUAAGAACUGUUAAGAUUGAACCAGGAAAUAAAAUAGGACUCUGGCAGUCAACAUUAAGAGCUGUCUUUAAAUCAAUAGUCAGUUUGUUCUGUCCUCUUGUUAUAUUCUUUAUUGUUAUGGACAGAGGAAGACCUCAAUAUGAUAGAGCUUUUCGUACUGCAGUUGUACAUUAUAAAUAUUUGUACAGACCAAUUUAAUUAUUUACGGCUUUCACAUCUUUAGAAUUUUAAGUCACUAAUGGCAGUUUAAUUUACUGCAAUCAGUGCAAUGCAGCUUUGUAUGAACACAA